rnacentral:lncRNA from 1 species
CAUUUUUUAAAAAUGGUAUCGCUUGACAGAACAAAAAAAGAUUUUUAAAGCAAUGCAAGAUUGAAUUUAGCAUAAGGCUAAAUUUCUGCUCUGGAGACAAAAAAGGAAGACAGCGAAAAUGACCAGUCAAAAUAAAGAUUGAAGA